rnacentral:lncRNA from 1 species
UGUUUUCUAUUGAUAUUUCAAAAAAGGUAAAAACCUUGUGGGCAUCUCAAUAUACGGUGCAGAUCACUGCCUCAAGGUACCGCUUUUCCUUUGCUUUUUCGAUUAAUUAGACGGAAUCGGCUACAUUUCUUUGUUUGGGUUUCGUUAUUGAAAAAUUGAAAUCGACACAUAUUAUUAGGGUUAUUUUCUCCCUUUCCGCUCUGCAUCGAUUCAAAUUCCAGAUUUUUAUUAAUGAAGAAGCCCAUGUUUGUUGUUUUUCAUUGUUUCUAUAAUAAUACAAAGGAAGCAAGUGUGGGUUGAGUAUGAGAGGUUUUUGUUUAAUGAAAUUGUUGUUGCUAGAGCUUCAGCUUCAAUUGUUGCUGCAGAGCCCACAAACUCAAAGACAAACAUUUAUUUUUUUAUUUUCCUUUUUCUUUUGGAUGGUUAAUGAUAAUGCUGUGAUUUUGGCAAUUGAUCUUUUCGUUUUUAAUUUUAUUUUUUAAUGGCAGAAGGAUGUCAGAUUGCUUUCUCUGAUUUAGUUUUGGAGGAAUUGUCAUUUAAACCAAAGGGAUAUAAUUAC